CUGUUCUUACAAAAAUGCAAACACUCCUUACUGGAAGCUGAUAUUUUGCCCAAAGUGCUCCAUCGUUUAUUCUGAGCUCAUCAACAUGAAGACUUGAAAAAGUUUUAGAAAUCAAACAUAGAGAAGAUUUGAACGAAAGGAAUGAAGGUUACAUUCAAAACAGAAACACAGCUUUCUAUUUUUGUUUUGAAAGCUGUCAAAGAUUCUAGCCAAGCACUCACUGAGGAUAAAGAUCUGAGGUAGAGAGAAGUCUAAUCCAGUGGUCUUGUUAUUACUGCUACCAAUGGAACACUAUGAAUGCCUAUGGCACAUCAUGAAAGAAAGAAUAGCUUGAGUACAGGGAUGCAAUAGCAGAGCUGAUGUGGCUGAAACAGAGAGAGGAAAGGAUGCAAGUUGAACACAGAGCUUUUGGCUCUCAGGCUGAAGAGCCUGCCGACCACAUCACUGGCUGAUGAAAGGAGAAGGACAGAACAAAGAGAACUUUCAGUCUUCCUCAGCCCACUGACGAGCUGCGCAGGAAGGACUACAUUUUAAUGUCUCACUAGAAAUCUACCACCUCUGCAAAUGCAGCAAAGCUUCCCACGUACACCAUGAGCUGAAUUAUCACCUCAGAGCUAGGAACAUAACUCCCCAGUGGAUAUUUAUAACCAAGAACUUUGGUGUGGAAAUCAAAGUGAUAUCGAUUAAAUUAUCCUGAUAUUUAAUAUUAAUAUUUUAAUCAACUAAUUUCUUUUUUUUUCCCCAGCCUGCCUCUUAGAUGGAAAAAAUAUAAAACAACCACAUGUAUAAUUAAUGCUUUAUUUCUUA
rnacentral:lncRNA from 1 species